GCCAAGAUUUCUCCUCCCCUCAGCUUGGAGUGGAGUCCCGUGUUUAUCAAGCUCACUUCAUGAUGUGGGGCCAUGAUUCAUGAGAAGUUAACACAAACUUGCGACAGAGUGAUGUGCUUGCAUGAGCGACUGACGGAGUAAAGGCAGAGGCAUAACAGCUACGUUAGUAAAGUGAGACAGCAGUGAACUUGAGGGGAAGACAUUAUCCCAGCGUCACUGAAAAACGUGAGGGAGGUGAAACGAUUGUCAAAGUAGAACUUUAGGGUGAAGAAUUAACCCUGGUUCUCUGAAACGUGACCAACGUAGUGAAAAAUCAAAACAACACCUUUUGCAAAGCUCUGCAGGCUCGUCUGAGAUGUGGGGUGUUUGAGGAUUACACCUGCAGGACUCCUCUGAUCUUUGCUCCUUCUCGAGGGGACCACACUGCGGGCCCCUAGGAUUGGGAUGCACUUAGACACUUCCUUCUACUUGGACCUCCAUCACCAAGAACGUCAAAAACAGUACAAAACCAAUCACUCUAUCCACUGUUAUUCCUCAUUUGUUCUUCAUCUUUGCAAUACUGUUUUUUCUUCCUCCCACAAGUGUUUCUUUUGCACUCAAGUGCCAUUUGUUGUUGGCAAAGUGCAGAAAAGAAUAUUUGAUUGAUUUGGUUUAUUCAGAUGAAUCUUUCACUCCCUGUAUCGACCCUCUGUUUACCAGCUCGUUCGCACUCAUCACUGUGAUUUGCAGCUGUUUCUUAUACCAGUGGAGACCUCACUGUCAUUUUUUAUGGUUUGUUGCCUCUCAGACACGCCUCUCUGUAACUAGGGAAAUGUCACUGUUAUACAUCAAGUCAUUUGUUUGUCUGGGGAAGUCGAUUUUUAUUGUCUCUUCUUUGAUUCAUUUUCAACCUUCCAUGUCCCCAACCGUAACAAUGCUUUGGGCUGGUAAAACUAGCACAUAAUCAACUGUACAAUAAUCAGAUCGGCCUUUUCACAUACAAUGUUGUAUUUUAUUUAAUACUGUCGGAAAUCUAAAUAAAUAAUAAUCCUACUUAAACCUAUAGCACACAAUACAUGUACCUAUUUUUUUACCCUCUGCAUUUUUUCACUCUUUAAUUACCUUGUUUGAAAG